rnacentral:rRNA from 2 species
GUACUGCGAGUGAGCGGGAAAGCUCAAAUUUAAAAUCUGGCGGCUUUGGUCGUCCGAGUUGUAUCCUAGAGAAGUGUUUUCCGCGUUGGACCGUGUAUAAGUCUCUUGGAACAGAGCGUCAUAGAGGGUGAGAAUCCCGUCUUUGACACGGACUACCAAUGCUUUGUGAUACACUCUCAAAGAGUCGAGUUGUUUGGGAAUGCAGCUCAAAAUGGGUGGUAAAUUCCAUCUAAAGCUAAAUAUUGGCGAGAGACCGAUAGCGAACAAGUACCGUGAGGGAAAGAUGAAAAGCACUUUGGAAAGAGAGUUAAACAGUACGUGAAAUUGCUGAAAGGGAAACGAUUGAAGUCAGUCGCGUUAGCUAGAACUCAACCAGGCUUGCUUGGCGUAUUUUCUAGUUAACGGGCCAGCAUCAGUUUUGACCGCAGGAAAAAGGCCAGAGAAAUGUGGCACCCUCGGGUGUGUUAUAGUCUUUGGUCAUAUACUGCGAUUGGGACUGAGGUUCGCAGCACGCGCAAGCUGUGCUUAGGAUGCUGGCGUAAUGGCUUUAAACGACCCGUCU